rnacentral:ncRNA from 2 species
AAACUCCCCGGCGUUGAAGGUUCCCCGCCAGGGGAUUAAAAGGGAAGCCGGUGCCGAGCCCAGCUCGAAUUCCGGCGCUGCCCCCGCAACUGUCAUCGGCGAGCGCUUCGCCACCCCAUGCCACUGGAUGCGUUCCGGGAAGGCGGGCGAAGCGCGACGACCCGAGAGCCAGGAGACCUGCCCCAACGUCCAUCCUUGA